GACGAACGCUGGCGGCGUGCUUAACACAUGCAAGUCGAACGGUGAAGCUCCAGCUUGCUGGAGUGGAUCAGUGGCGAACGGGUGAGUAACACGUGAGCAACCUGCCCCUGACUCUGGAAUAAGCGCUGGAAACGGCGUCUAAUACUGGAUACGAGAAGGGCCCGCAUGGGCACUUUCUGGAAAGUUUUUCGGUUGGGGAUGGGCUCGCGGCCUAUCAGCUUGUUGGUGAGGUAAUGGCUCACCAAGGCGACGACGGGUAGCCGGCCUGAGAGGGCGACCGGCCACACUGGGACUGAGACACGGCCCAGACUCCUACGGGAGGCAGCAGUGGGGAAUAUUGCACAGUGGGCGAAAGCCUGAUGCAGCGACGCCGCGUGAGGGAUGACGGCCUUCGGGUUGUAAACCUCUUUCAGCAGGGAAGAAGCGAAAGUGACGGUACCUGCAGAAGAAGCACCGGCUAACUACGUG
rnacentral:rRNA from 1 species